AGAGAUGCAUUGGGCGUAAAGUGUGCGCAGGCGGUUUUGUAAGACAGAGGUGAAAUCCCCGGGCUCAACCUGGGAACUGCCUUUGUGACUGCAAGGCUGGAGUGCGGCAGAGGGGGAUGGAAUUCCGCGUGUAGCAGUGAAAUGCGUAGAUAUGCGGAGGAACGCCGAUGGCGAAGGCAAUCCCCUGGGCCUGCACUGACGCUCAUGCACGAAAGCGUGGGGAGCAAACA
rnacentral:rRNA from 1 species